UAGCCUGGAACGUGGGCGGCACGGAUGAUGAAUUGGUGUUGGGCUGAGACCAGUUUGGUUAUUUUGCUGCUUAAAUUGUUUUUGUUUGGUGGUGUGAAGCAAAACUUAGGGAGCAAGGAGCAUACUGCUAAAAUGAUCAAACUGAGGGGGCAACGAGAUCACCUCUUCACUGGGGCCAAAAACUUAGCUUUGAGGUCAAUUCUGGAGUAAAAAAAAACAAAACAAAAGGGCAGGAGAGGGGGAAACCCACUGCUGCUACUUGUCUGUGGUUUGUCCUCGUGGAUGAGGUGUUGGGAUGGAGGCAUUUCACCACACCCCCUGUCCUAAUUGCCUCCAUCCCUGAGGACACACCAGGGCCAAAUACAGCAGUGGAUGACCAGGAGGAGGAGGAGAAGGAAAGCCAGCCAAAGCCACUUAAGAGAAAAUGAGAGAGAGGAUAGGCUUCUUCAGCUCAUGAAGGAAGACAUGAGGUAGCAGAGUGAGCCAGAGGAGAGGAGAGCACAGGAGAGCAAAGAGAGAACGGACAGGCUCCUCUCUCUACUCAAGAGAUUACUUGAAAAAUAAAAAAAAUACUGAAUGAAU